rnacentral:tRNA from 2 species
GUAUAAAAAGUGAGAAAUUUGCAUACGGUUUCGGCCCGUACCUUGUGGGUGAGAGUCCUUCUUUAUACU